rnacentral:lncRNA from 1 species
CUAGUGAUCAAAAGGUCACAAAAUUGACAAUUUUAAUGGUAGAUGUGAUGCAUUUGUGAAUUUAAUAAUGCAACACAAUUCAAAUCUAAUGAAAUUUUUAUAGAAAAUUUUUUUUACUAUUUAGAGUAAGAUCAGUAUCUCUGAUCUUAAAUUUAAAUCUUUUAUUAUUAUUUUUUAUGAGAUUUUUAUUUUCAGCCGUUUAUUUUUAGACUAUUCGUUUGAUCAGUAAAUGAUGCCGAAAAAUUAUAAAAUUUAGUUUCCAAAUAUUUUUAAUAGUGUAGAUCAAGUCUAACGAGCCGAUCGUCGAUUUGGAAGUCGCGUCAUUAAAAACAACUUGGUAGUACAGAGGAGCUACAGUAUGGCGG